rnacentral:rRNA from 1 species
UACGUAGGGUCCGAGCGUUUGUCCGGAAUUAUUGGGCGUAAAGGGCUCGUAGGCGGUUCGUCACGUCGGGAGUGAAAACUCGGGGCUUAACCCCGAGCCUGCUUCCGAUACGGGCAGACUAGAGGUAGGCAGGGGAGACUGGAAUUCCUGGUGUAGCGGUGAAAUGCGUAGAUAUCUGGAGGAACACCGGUGGCGAAGGCGGCAUCCUGGACCGGCAUUGACGCUGAGGCGCGAAAGCCAGGGGAGCAAACGGG